rnacentral:rRNA from 1 species
GAUGAACGCUGGCGGCGUGCCUAAUACAUGCAAGUCGAGCGAACGGACGAGAAGCUUGCUUCUCUGAUGUUAGCGGCGGACGGGUGAGUAACACGUGGAUAACCUACCUAUAAGACUGGGAUAACUUCGGGAAACCGGAGCUAAUACCGGAUAAUAUUUUGAACCGCAUGGUUCAAAAGUGAAAGACGGUCUUGCUGUCACUUAUAGAUGGGUCCGCGCUGCAUUAGCUAGUUGGUAAGGUAACGGCUUACCAAGGCAACGAUGCAUAGCAGACCUGAGAGGGUGAUCGGCCACACUGGAACUGAGACACGGUCCAGACUCCUACGGGAGGCAGCAGUAGGGAAUCUUCCGCAAUGGGCGAAAGCCUGACGGAGCAACGCCGCGUGAGUGAUGAAGGUCUUCGGAUCGUAAAACUCUGUUAUUAGGGAAGAACAUAUGUGUAAGUAACUGUGCACAUCUUGACGGUACCUAAUCAGAAAGCCACGGCUAACUACGUG